rnacentral:rRNA from 1 species
GCCGGAAAACUCACCAGGGCCGACGGACAAAUGAAGGUCAAGUUGACGACUUUACCGGAUUGUUCGAGAGGUGGUGCAUGGCCGUCGUCAGUUCGUACCGUAAGGCGUUCUGUUAAGUCAGAUAACGAACGAGACCCCCAUCCCUAUUUGCUAUUUCAAUCGCCAGAUUGGAAGCACUAUAGGGAGACCGCUGGUGUGAAACCAGAGGAAGGUGGGGGCAACGGUAGGUCAGUAUGCCCCGAAUGUCCUGGGCUACACGCGCGCUACAAAGGACGGGACAAUGGGAUGCGACAUCGAGAGAUGAAGCUAUCCUGAAACCCGUUCGUAGUACGGAUUGAGGGCUGUAACUCGCCCUCAUGAAGCUGGAUUUCGUAGUAAUCGCGUCUCAAAAUGGCGCGGUGAAUAUGCCCCUGCUCCUUGCACACACCGCCCGUCAAACCAUCUUAGUUGGGGUUGGGUGAGGCUACCUUAUUUUGGGGUAUUCGAGCCUGUCUUCGACAAGGAGGGUUAAGUCGUAACAAGGUAUCUGUAGGGGAACCUGCAGAUG